GCCGGGCACGGUGGCGCAUGCCUGUAGUCCCAGCUACUCGGGAGGCUGAGGUAGGAGGGUCGCUUGAGCCCAGGAGUUCUGGGCUGUAGUGAGCUAUGCCGAUCGGGUGUCCGCACUAAGUUUGGCAUCAAUGUGGUGACCUCCCGGGAGCGGGGAACCAUCAGGUUGCCUAAGGAGGGGUGAACCGGCCCAGGUCAGAAAUGGAGCAGGUCAAAACUCCCGUGCUGAUCAGUAGUGGGAUCACGCUUGUGAAUAGCCACUGCAUUCCACACUCCAGCCUGGGCAACGUAACGAGACCCCGUCUCU
rnacentral:SRP_RNA from 1 species